UACGGAGGGUGCGAGCGUUGUCCGGAAUCAUUGGGCGUAAAGGGCGCGUAGGUGGCAGGCCAAGCGUGCGGUGAAAGCUCGGGGCUCAACCCCGGGUCGGCCGUGCGAACUGGCGUGCUGGAGCACUGUAGAGGCAGGCGGAAUUCCGGGUGUAGCGGUGGAAUGCGUAGAGAUCCGGAAGAACACCGGUGGCGAAGGCGGCCUGCUGGGCAGUUGCUGACACUGAGGCGCGACAGCGUGGGGAGCAAACAGG
rnacentral:rRNA from 1 species